rnacentral:rRNA from 1 species
AUUGAACGCUGGCGGCAGGCCUAACACAUGCAAGUCGAGCGGGGUUUUCGGACCUAGCGGCGGACGGGUGAGUAAUGCGUAGGAAGCUACCCGAUAGAGGGGGAUACCAGUUGGAAACGACGGUUAAUACCGCAUAAUGUCUACGGACCAAAGUGUGGGACCUUCGGGCCACAUGCUAUCGGAUGCGCCUACGUGGGAUUAGCUAGUUGGUGGGGUAAUGGCUCACCAAGGCGACGAUCCCUAGCUGGUUUGAGAGGAUGAUCAGCCACACUGGAACUGAGACACGGUCCAGACUCCUACGGGAGGCAGCAGUGGGGAAUAUUGGACAAUGGGCGCAAGCCUGAUCCAGCCAUGCCGCGUGUGUGAAGAAGGCCUUCGGGUUGUAAAGCACUUUCAGUAGGGAGGAAGGGUGUUGUGUUAAUAGCACAGCAUUUUGACGUUACCUACAGAAGGAGCACCGGCUAACUCUGUGCCAGCAGCCGCCGUAAAAC